rfam:Myotis brandtii contig271984, whole genome shotgun sequence.
GGCGGGGGGGAGGGGUCCCUCAGCCCGGAUUGCGAGAGGGUGCAGGCCAGGCCAAUGGACCCCAUUGGUGCACG